rnacentral:rRNA from 1 species
AUGAAUGCUGCGGCAAGUCUAGAACCGAGAGCGAAGGCCACCCUGGUUCUCAGAGGGGAAUCGUUCACAGUCAGCUCUGAGUCAGGUACCCUGUCGGAGCAGCUGGCGGCGAUGCGGGAGAAGAGCAUGGUGAUCCUCAAGGGCUACAUAACCAAGCACAACGCUCCGAACGAUGUCCCUGAUGAAUCCAUCGAGGGCUCAUCCGAUGAGGAGGGCGAAGCGCUUGCUAAAAAUCCUCUGAAGAAAUCUAGGAAGCAGAGGUGA